UACAGAGGUCUCAAGCGUUGUUCGGAUUCAUUGGGCGUAAAGGGUGCGUAGGCGGCUUGGUAAGUCAGAUGUGAAAUCCUGGGGCUCAACCUCGGAACUGCAUUUGAUACUGCCAGGCUAGAGUACUGGAGAGGAGACUGGAAUUUACGGUGUAGCAGUGAAAUGCGUAGAUAUCGUAAGGAAGGCCAGUGGCGAAGGCGAGUCUCUGGACAGUAACUGACGCUGAGGCACGAAGGCCAGGGGAGCAAACGGGAUUAGAUACCCCGGUAGUCCUGGCAGUAAACGGUGCACGUUUGGUGUGGGAGGAAUCGACCCCUUCCGUGCCGGAGCUAACGCGUUAAACGUGCCGCCUGGGGAGUACGGUCGCAAGAUUA
rnacentral:rRNA from 1 species